rnacentral:rRNA from 1 species
UACGUAGGGUGCGAGCGUUAAUCGGAAUUACUGGGCGUAAAGAGUGCGUAGGCGGUUUUGUAAGACAGGUGUGAAAUCCCCGGGCUUAACCUGGGAACUGCACUUGUGACUGCAAGGCUAGAGUGUGUCAGAGGGGGGGUGGAAUUCCACGUGUAGCAGUGAAAUGCGUAGAGAUGUGGAGGAACACCGAUGGCGAAGGCAGCCCCCCUGGGAUAACACUGACGCUCAGGCACGAAAGCGUGGGGAGCAAACAGG